AGUUGACUCUCUGUAGCGCUGGAUCCACCUGUUAGGUUCUUCUGUAAGUCCUCUUUCAGCAGACAUCAGUUCUAUCGUGACCCGUUGGUGUGUGUUGAAGCAGGGAUUCAUCUGAAAGUUGCAGGAUGGCAGCUCUCAAGGACUGGACGUGAGCACCGCUGAAAAAACUUGGUGGUUUUGACAGUGUGGGAAGACACCCAAGUCCUGCUAGAAAAUAAAAUAAGCACUCCCAUAGCUUGUCAGCACAGGGAAGCAAGAAGUGAUCUAAUGCUCUGGGACCUUGAUUCGUAAUUGAAAUGCAAAGCAUUCGCCUGAAAAGACGAAUCGAUGGCCCAUUCCUUUUUCUCACUGGACCAGGUAAGACGUU